CCCACUCUCUCCCCCUUCUCUGUGAUCCAGGAAUGGCGGCUUCCGUUUCCAAGCUCUCCAAUCCCACCCCUGCUUCCUCCUUGUCCUCCACCUUCAGCCCCAGAACGCCGCAGCCCAGGUGUUUGAUCCGCCUCCUCACCACCCCCGGCUCCACCUUCAACUCCAAACUCUCCUCCUCCAAGCUCUCCGUGCGAAGCAAGCCCUCUCUGCGGGGCUCUCUGGUGUAAGUCUCCCCCUUUUUCCGAUUGCAUAUUGUCUAGGUUUUUUUUUAAUUUUUUAUGAGAAGCUGGAUUUGAGCUUUGUUUCAUUUGCUUGAUUUUGUAUUUUUUGUGUUGAAAGUUGAAAGUUGUGUUCUUUACUCUUCUGGGUUGCUGAUUGAUUGUGAAAUUUGAGUCGAAAAGUUUGUUUAUUUAUUUUUUUGAUCUUUUAUUG
rnacentral:lncRNA from 1 species